rnacentral:lncRNA from 1 species
CAAUGGCUAUGGCUGUUUUUCUCUCUCUUCUUUAUGCUUCUGUAGGAAUUGUGUCUGCAUUGUCUCAUCCAGACAAGAUCAUUAAAUUGCCUGGACAACCUCAAGUGGGGUUUCAGCAAUUUUCAGGAUAUGUUACUGUUGAUGAUAAGAAGCAAAGAUCUCUCUUUUACUACUUUGUUGAAGCUGAAACAGAUCCAGCUUCAAAGCCUUUAGUUUUGUGGUUGAAUGGAGGUAUAAAAUUUCAAAAAUUUAAGACAUUCUUGUUUUGGGGUGUUAUUUUUCUUGAUAAAGUUUCAAUCUUUUUUGAGUAUUUGCAAAAAUAAAAUAAAAUUGCAGGACCUGGAUGUUCUUCACUUGGGGUUGGUGCAUUUUCUGAAAAUGGGCCAUUUAGACCAAGAGGACAAGUUCUUGUUAAGAAUGAACACAGCUGGAAUAAAGGUGAUAUACCAUUUUAUUCAAGAAAAUUUUCCAUUUUUUUCCUGUGGUAACUUCAUAGUUCUGAGAAGUAAAAAAAAUGAUUGUUUUAUCUUUAUUGAAAUAUUUGCAGAGGCAAACAUGUUGUAUUUGGAAAGCCCAAUUGGAGUUGGGUUCUCUUAUUCAUCUGAUACUUCUUCCUAUGAGACAGUAAAUGAUGAAGUAACAGGUAUUUUUGCCUCUCCCAAGCUAUGUUUUUCACACACUUCGACGGCUGCAGUUCCCUGUCGGAUCCUCCAAAAGUAGUGCAUUUUUGGAGAAUCUGACAUGGGCUUGAUAUCAGUUAUGGAGAGUCCGAGCAACACAGCUGAUAGCUCCCAAGUACCAAUUUAACAUGCAUUUCAUGUUGAAUCUUUGUAAUUACAACUAUUGGUUCAUUUCCAAAAGCUUGUUCCUUUUUAUCUUUACCUUUUUGACUUUUAUGAUGAGCAUGUGAUUGCUGAUCUUCAGCAGUAUAUUGGAGCAACUUACAACUUAAUGAAAAGGAAAAGGAGAUCUUCUUUAUUGUUAAUGUGGAUUCUGGGAACUUUCUGAUUUUUUUUAAUCCUUUUUUUGUUUGUUUGUAAUUGAAUUUUAAAUUUCUUGCUUUAUAUGCCUUUGCAUCUAAAGNUUUCCUUAUGAAUUUGCAGACUUCAAAACCAAUGGCUAUGGCUGUUUUUCUCUCUCUUCUUUAUGCUUCUGUAGGAAUUGUGUCUGCAUUGUCUCAUCCAGACAAGAUCAUUAAAUUGCCUGGACAACCUCAAGUGGGGUUUCAGCAAUUUUCAGGAUAUGUUACUGUUGAUGAUAAGAAGCAAAGAUCUCUCUUUUACUACUUUGUUGAAGCUGAAACAGAUCCAGCUUCAAAGCCUUUAGUUUUGUGGUUGAAUGGAG